rnacentral:rRNA from 1 species
GAAUAUUGGACAAUGGGCGAAAGCCUGAUCCCGCCAUGCCGCGUGUGUGAAGAAGGUCUUCGGAUUGUAAAGCACUUUAAGUUGGGAGGAAGGGCAGUAAGUUAAUACCUUGCUGUUUUGACGUUACCGACAGAAUAAGCACCGUCCAACUUCGCUCCCGCCGCCGCGGUAAUACGAAGGGUGCAAGCGUUAAUCGGAAUUACUGGGCGUAAAGCGCGCGUAGGUGGUUCAGCAAGUUGAAGGUGAAAUCCCCGGGCUCAACCUGGGAACUGCCUCCAAAACUACUGAGCUAGAGUACGGUAGAGGGUAGUGGAAUUUCCUGUGUAGCGGUGAAAUGCGUAGAUAUAGGAAGGAACACCAGUGGCGAAGGCGACUACCUGGACUGAUACUGACACUGAGGUGCGAAAGCGUGGGGAGCAAACAGG